AUUGAACGCUGGCGGCAGGCCUAACACAUGCAAGUCGAGCGGAUCGGCGGACGGGUGAGUAAUGCCUAUGAAUCUGCCUGGUUGUGGGGGAUAACGUCCGGAAACGGGCCCUAAUACCGCAUACUAUCAGAUGAGCCUAGUUCGGAUUAGCUAGUGGGUGGUGUAAAGGGCUACAAAGGCGACUAUCCGUAACUGGUCUGAUAGGAUGAUCAGUCACACUGGAACUGAGACACGGUCAAGACUCCUACGGGAGGCAGCAGUGGGGAAUAUUGGACAAUGGGCGAAAGCCUGAUCCAGCCAUGCCGCGUGUGUGAAGAAGGUCUUCGGAUUGUAAAGCACUUUAAGUUGGGAGGCGUUACCAACAGAAUAAGCACCGGCUAACUUCGUGCCAGCAGCCGCGGUAAUAC
rnacentral:rRNA from 1 species